AUGGAGAGUUUGAUCCUGGCUCAGGAUGAACGCUAGCGGCAGGCUUAACACAUGCAAGUCGAGGGGUAACAGAGAAAGCUUGCUUUCUGCUGACGACCGGCGCACGGGUGCGUAACGCGUAUGCAACCUACCUUAUACUGGGGAAUAGCCCGAAGAAAUUCGGAUUAAUGCCCCAUAGUAUUGUCGAUUCGCAUGUUUUGACAAUUAAAGAUUACGGUAUAAGAUGGGCAUGCGUCCCAUUAGCUAGAUGGUAAGGUAACGGCUUACCAUGGCAACGAUGGGUAGGGGGCCUGAGAGGGUGAUCCCCCACACUGGUACUGAGACACGGACCAGACUCCUACGGGAGGCAGCAG
rnacentral:rRNA from 1 species